rnacentral:rRNA from 1 species
CCCUGGUAGUCCACGCAGUAAACGAUGAUUACUAGGAGUUUGCGAUAUAGUGUAAGCUCUACAGCGAAAGCGUUAAGUAAUCCACCUGGGGAGUACGCCGGCAACGGUGAAACUCAAAGGAAUUGACGGGGGCCCGCACAAGCGGAGGAACAUGUGGUUUAAUUCGAUGAUACGCGAGGAACCUUACCCGGGAUUGAAAUGUAGACGACGGAGAGUGAGAGCUUUCUUCCCUUCGGGGCGUCUAUGUAGGUGCUGCAUGGUUGUCGUCAGCUCGUGCCGUGAGGUGUCGGCUUAAGUGCCAUAACGAGCGCAACCCUGACUGUCAGUUGCUAACAGGUAAAGCUGAGGACUCUGGCGGGACUGCCGGCGUAAGCUGUGAGGAAGGUUGGGAUGACGUCAAAUCAGCACGGCCCUUACAUCCGGGGCGACACACGUGUUACAAUGGCAGGGACAAAGGGCAGCUACCGGGCGACCGGAUGCCAAUCUCCAAACCCUGUCUCAGUCCGGAUCGGAGUCUGCAACUCGACUCCGUGAAGCUGGAUUCGCUAGUAAUCGCGCAUCAGCCGUGGCGCGGUGAAUACGUUCCCGGGCCUUGUACACACCGCCCGUCAAGCCAUGGGAGCCGGGGGUACCUGAAGUCCGUAACCGCGAGGAUCGGCCUAGGGUAAAACUGGUGAAUGGGGCUAAGUCGUAACAAGGUAGCCG